AUUGAACGCUGGCGGCAGGCUUAACACAUGCAAGUCGAACGAGUGGCGGACGGGUGAGUAAUGAUUGGGAAUCUAGCUUAUGGAGGGGGAUAACUACGGGAAACUGUAGCUAAUACCGCGUACCAUAGGAUGAGCACAAAGGGGAUUAGAUAGGUGGUUAGGUAAAGUCUAACCAAGCCGACGAUCUCUAGCUGGUCUGCGAGGAUGACCAGCCACACUGGGACUGGGACCCGGCCCAGCUUCCGACGGGAGGCAUCAGUUGGGAAUAUUGCGCUAUGGGGGCAAGCUUACGCAGCCAUGCCGCGUGAAUGAAGAAGGCCUUCGGGUUGUAAAGUUCUUUCGGUAGCGAGGCGUUAACUACAGAAGAAGCACCGGCUAACUCCGUGCCAGCAGCCGCGGUAAUAC
rnacentral:rRNA from 1 species